rnacentral:rRNA from 1 species
GAUGAACGCUGGCGGCGUGCCUAAUACAUGCAAGUCGAGCGAACAGAUAAGGAGCUUGCUCCUUUGACGUUAGCGGCGGACGGGUGAGUAACACGUGGGUAACCUACCUAUAAGACUGGGAUAACUUCGGGAAACCGGAGCUAAUACCGGAUAACAUUUGGAACCGCAUGGUUCUAAAGUGAAAGAUGGUUUUGCUAUCACUUAUAGAUGGACCCGCGCCGUAUUAGCUAGUUGGUAAGGUAACGGCUUACCAAGGCAACGAUACGUAGCCGACCUGAGAGGGUGAUCGGCCACACUGGAACUGAGACACGGUCCAGACUCCUACGGGAGGCAGCAGUAGGGAAUCUUCCGCAAUGGGCGAAAGCCUGAAGGAGCAACGCCGCGUGAGUGAUGAAGGGUUUCGGCUCGUAAAACUCUGUUAUUAGGGAAGAACAAAUGUGUAAGUAACUGUGCACGUCUUGACGGUACCUAAUCAGAAAGCCACGGCUAACUACGUG